rnacentral:rRNA from 1 species
CCUACGGGUGGCAGCAGUGAGGAAUAUUGGUCAAUGGGCGGAAGCCUGAACCAGCCAAGUCGCGUGAGGGAUUAAGGCCCUGCGGGUCGUAAACCUCUUUUGCCGGGGAGCAGAGGUCCGGACGUGUCCGGGCCGGGAGAGUACCCGGAGAAAAAGCAGCGGCGAACUCCGUCCCAGCAGCCGCGGUAAUACGGGGGAUGCGAGCGUUAUCCGGAUUGAUUGGGUGGAAGGGGGGCGUAGGCGGGCAUUUAAGCCGGCGGUAAAAUGUCGGGGCUCAACCCCGGCCUGCCGUCGUAACUGGGUGCCUUGAGUGGGCGAGAAGUAUGCGUAAUGCGUGGUGUAGCGGU